ensembl:ncRNA lncRNA:CR46075 long non-coding RNA:CR46075
GCGUGCAGUGUGUUCACUUUUGAUUUCUGUGCAGCGGCAGCAGGUUUUCGAGAGCGGGACCAAGAGAGAGGGUCGCGUGGGGAGCUUGUUGCGCUACAAUCAUUUGGCGGCUGGCUAGAUGGGCAGCAACUUCCGAUGUGUCCGCGGUGGCAAGUUCGCUCACACACAAGCGACCCAAGCUGCAGCUACCUGUUGAUAUGUGUGGGAACUAAUCAGAAUACAAGAGGUUCCUGCGGUUCGAUAAAACUCAAAACCGGUUCAUCCAAGCGAGCAUGGUUAUAUGGGAACUUGAGCUCGAAUUUGAAGCUAAAUACAGAUGUGUGGAGAAUAUGCACCCAUAACCAAUACCUUGGCUAUAUGUAUCUGUUUUGGCCCACACUUAAUAAGGCCAAAAAAGUCAAGAACAAAAACAAAAAAAACACGAGUCUUGUAUAAAAAAAGAUAAAAGUAAACAAAGUUAUGGCAAAAACCAAACAAUAACAAAACAGCAAGGCAGCCAGACCAGCUCUCUCACAAACACAAUCUAAAGUCGCAACUGUUUUUAAAGACCAAAGAAAGGGAGGGAGCGAGGAAUCAAACACAACACGUGCUUUUAUUACGCUACAAGCAAUGGUACGUACGUCUGUGCGAUGCAACUGAGGGAGACUGCAAAAACAGGAGGGAC